CCGCGUCCUGGCGCGGGUUCGCGCGCUGCCGCUCGCUGCAGCCGGCCGCCGCGGCGAGCGGUGCCGCGACCGCCGAUGUGGC
rnacentral:tRNA from 1 species